AGUGCAGCACUGAUACAAAGCUCACCAUGCUGCCCGUCUGUCCGGCUGGAGCUGGAGGACUGCCGCCACGCCAGAGAAAAGAGCCAACAGGGGACAUUUUGCUCGACAUGACAAACAAAAACAUCUCUGACUACUUAGUGAAGACUUACCCCAAACUCAUCAAGACCAGCUUGAAGAGCAAAU